GUUCGGGGGGCUCCCGGGGCCCGAGGGGGGUCGCCUUGUGCCUGGGGCUCUCCCCGGUGCGGUGCCCCGGGAGGGACUUUGUAAAGUGGCCCGGGAACGGCGGGGGGUUGCCCAGGGAUGGGGGCAGGAGGGAGAGACCCCCCCCACGGUGCCCCCCAGCACCCCCCGGUGCCCCCCGUCCUGCAGCCGGGCUCGGAGGCCCCCACCCAUGGGCAGGCUCUCGCUCCGCGGCCAGGUGCGGAGCAUCCGCGCUUCCAAGCGGUUCGCAGCCGCCGUGCUGCCCCCUCGGCUGACAGGACACCCCGCUGGGUAGUGCCCUGGGGGUGGUUAGGGGCCUCUGGGCACAAGCUGCACGUGUGUUGAUUUAUAUUAAAAAAAAAAAAAAAAUUAUAAAUGGCCUGCUAGUUGUUUGGAGUUAUUGCAGUGCGUGUGACGGUACCUGCCUCUGCGUGUGCUGGUCCGGUCACCACAAGCCACGGAGCAAGCAGGGCUGCUACAGCAGAGGUGAAAAUAAACACCCUGUGCCUGCAAAGCACCGACCCAAAGCCGGCAGAGAUAAGGCCAUUGUCGGCACAGGCAGAACCUGUCUAGGCCAAUUGAAGAGACACCGUCAAAAUUACUUGCCUUGCCCAUCAAAUUUACAUGCCACAGCAAUGACUUUCAGUCAGUGUUCAUGCAGAGCUACAUUGAACUAGUGUCAGAAAUUACAUUCCUGGGUCUACCAUGAAUGUUUACAAGUGAAACCAAAUUUCUAGCAUAGCUCAAGGUGUGGUAACGCAGGGCUAAGUUUAUAGGCCUACAUUUUACAUCAUGACUCAGUUGUUUUGAACGACAUUUUGAGGCACACAAAGGGGCCUAUUUUCCUCAUUAUGCCGAGUGGUAUAAGGAUCUUGUCCUCUAAAAAUCAGACCCCUUUUAACUUUGAAUUGAUUUAUCAUGAUUUUAAUUGCUUGGGGUUUCAACCAGAAAAGAAGAGCGAGUCUAGGGAGUUACACGGGAUGAGGAGACAAGGCCCAGAAAACCAUCACAAGAGCUACGCAGGGCUUUUAUAGGAUCCCCUCUUCACCACCUGAACAUGCCAACCACAUCCAUCAGAACCUCUCAGCUUUGCAGGAAAGGUUUAGGUAGAACUUCUGUUGAUUUUGAUAACCUUUAGUAUUAUGGGACAGUCAAGCAAAAAUUGUUUUCUUGCCUCCGCACACUAGAAAGGCAUGCAACUGCAACCUGGAGUGCCUUGUUCCUGCUUUAUGAGCUACCAAACCCAUAUGUUCUGUGAAAAAUCACAUCCUCGUUGCCUUUCUUCAAGUUCCACAAGCAUCUCCAUGAAAGCAGUCCUAUUUCCAAAGUACCGCCUGAGAUUCUAGCAUCCAGCACAUCUCCACUGCAGCCACUGGGGAAAAGAAACCAUCCUAAAACUGCGGGGAUUUCGGUGGCCACAACAAAGGGUGGCUGGGCUGCACGAGGGUGUAGCCAGACGCUGCUCCACAGACACGGUCUGAGCAGCGUGAGGCUGCUCCACUGUCCCUUGCUGCUCUCCGCUCCAGCAGCAGAGCGGCGCCACCAGCACAAGUGUUUGUGUGAAGUUGGUGUGGUUGUCUGACGGCGUGCCGGAGGCUGCUGGAGCUGACACUGCCAAAACUGCAUGGAAACAAGUUAGGGGAGAGUUGGAUGCUCUGUUCUGGCAACUCAGACGUUGUAUAAUUCAUUUUGCAGGGAUUAGCAUAUAAAGAAACUAAUUGGUGAGGUUGUCCCGUUGUUCUGAGUUUUUCUGUAGACCCAGGAGCUGUGCAAGGAGGGUGCUUGGCUGGUCUCAUGCAGGGAGGAGCGAGUUGUGGAGCAAUGCUGAGAUGCCUUAACCUAACAUAAUUUGAUCACCGAGUUAACAUGUUCUAAGUUCUGAAGCAAGUUUUUAAUAAAUAUUUUUAAAAUGGUAGGAAAACAACAACAGCAACAACCACCCAGCAGCAUAAGCCCAAACAGCUGCCUGGAAAACACCCGCAUGGUGACAGCGGACUCUGCGGACAGGAUGCUCACAGCAGCCUAGCUGUAAGCCGAGCUCACACAGCGCUAGGAGCCGGGGGGCUACCACGCACAGAGAUCUGCUGCCAUCUUUGAGCUUCUGGAAGGGGAUGAGAUUUUUCUGGAGUAUUCAGGUGAUCCCGGAGCACAAGGCUCACAGCUGUGACAUUCUGAAUUACCUGGGCACUUCUGAGGAGCCUCCAUCUGCUCUUUGAUUACAACCAGUAAACACUCACAAUACUCAGCUCUCAGGUCCCUGGCCUGGUAAGGCACACAGAAAAGGCUCUGACUUGAUCACCAGCACAGAGGGAAGUUCUUUAUUACCAUUACCAUUUUUUGAGCUUUCCAGUUUUUCCUCAUUAUCAUUUUGUACUUCCUAUAGAUUUCCUCUACAGUGGUACAUACAAGGUCCCUCUCUGUAGCUUUCGACACAUUGUCCCUGGAGUUAUUUCACUGCUAGUGUAAAGAAGUAAACCACAUUAACUUUUUUCCCCUUCGACCAUAUCUGCUCAUUAAGUAAAUGUUUACAAAGAAGAUAUCUAUGAAACCAACCUUGAAACAACAGGGAUCACUGAGCUUCAGCAAGAGAGGAGCUUGUUGGUGACAGCGUACGUCCCUUCCAGUUUUCCUCAUCUGAUACCAGAUCUCCUUAUUACAUUAAUUGGUUAGAUCUCAAGAAACACUAUGCUGUCUUCUGAAAACAUACAGCUGAGUUAAGAAUCUGAACAGAGAACUUACACACACUGUCUCCCGUGAUUGUUCAGCCCUGCCAUGGGCAGAAGUGGAGGCCAAAUGAGAUAACAGUGGGAACCAACCUGCAGGUCUAGCAUGGGCACAAGCGGUCAUGCAGCACACAAAGCACCAGGGCUGUCCUGCGGGGAACUUUACAGUAAAUACACAGAGGCAGCAGUUCAAAUGCUGUAAUAAAACACCCAGGUAAACCCAAAUUCCAAACCAGGGGGAAUAAUGAGAUAUGCCGUUUGAAGCAAGGCAGUCAAGAAUGUAAACAGCAUCUGUAAUUUAAAAAUCAUUGAAAUUGUAAUAGGAGACUAGGUUAAAAGGGCCUUUCAUGUAGCAAAUUAGCUUAAAGAUCUAGCUAAAGAAUUUAUUUCGUAUUCAUAACAGUUAACGCAAAUUGCAUUAUCAGUCCAUACAUGUACCUUUCGACUCACUUUUCCUUUGCCUCCUAUUUCAGCACACAAGCUCAUGUUACACCGAACCUUGACACAAGGAAGCUACUUCAUUGGGCAUCAGCAUUGUACUGACAGUAAAACUGUGUCUUCAGCAUGGCUUACCAGAAUCUGCAGGAUUCAUAAAACCUGAACUUUGACCAUCAUCUCAGAUGUCAAUAAAAACUUACCAGCUUUUUUUGUACAAGG